UACGUAGGUGGCAAGCGUUGUCCGGAUUUAUUGGGUUUAAAGGGUGCGUAGGCGGUCUUCUAAGUCAGGUGUGAAAUACUUCAGCUUAACUGGAGAGGUGCAAUUGAUACUGGAAGACUUGAGUACUGAUGAGGUAGGCGGAAUGGACGGUGUAGCGGUGAAAUGCUUAGAUAUCGUCCAGAACACCGAUAGCGAAGGCAGCUUACUAAGGAGUAACUGACGCUGAGGCACGAAAGUGUGGGGAUCAAACAGG
rnacentral:rRNA from 1 species